rnacentral:rRNA from 1 species
UACUCGCUGCGAGCUAAAGAUUGUUCGUGGCUUAGGGAAACCGAUAAGUAUCCCACCUGGGGAGUACGCCGGCAACGGUGAAACUCAAAGGAAUUGACGGGGGCCCGCACAAGUGGUGGAGCAUGUGGUUUAAUUCGAUGAUACGCGAGGAACCUUACCUAGGCUAGAAUGCGCGUGACCGGCUCAGAGAUGAGCCUUUCCUUCGGGACACAAAGCAAGGUGCUGCAUGGCCGUCGUCAGCUCGUGCCGUGAGGUGUUGGGUUAAGUCCCGCAACGAGCGCAACCCCUAUGUUUAGUUGCCAGCAUGUAAUGAUGGGGACUCUAGACAGACUGCCUGCGCAAGCAGUGAGGAAGGCGGGGACGACGUCAGGUCAUCAUGGCCCUUACGCCUAGGGCGACACACGUGCUACAAUGGACGGUACAGCGGGUAGCUACUGGGCGACCAGAUGCCAAUCUCGAAAAGCCGUUCUCAGUUCGGAUCGGAGUCUGCAACUCGACUCCGUGAAGCUGGAAUCACUAGUAAUCGCGCAUCAGCCAUGGCGCGGUGAAUACGUUCCCGGGCCUUGUACACACCGCCCGUCAAGCCAUGAAAGUCUGGUAG